AGGUUAAUGAUAGAAACAGAUGCACCAUGGUGUGAAAUUCGCCCAACCCAUGCAGGAUUUAAACAUAUCAAAACACAGUUUCAAACCAAAAAGAAGGAAAAAUGGGAGAAAGGUUUCUGUGUCAAGAGCAGAAAUGAGCCAGCAUUCAUCAUCCAAGUCCUCGAGGUGAUGAGUAGAGCUCGACAGAUAGAAAUCGGGGAACUGGCUGAUCAGCUCUACAACAACACUUGCCAGUUAUUUUUUCCUCAAUAAAAGCCUUGUUAUAAGGAAAUG
rnacentral:misc_RNA from 1 species